AGUGAACGCUGGCGGUAGGCCUAACACAUGCAAGUCGAACGGCAGCACAGUAAGAGCUUGCUCUUACGGGUGGCGAGUGGCGGACGGGUGAGGAAUACAUCGGAAUCUACUUUUUCGUGGGGGAUAACGUAGGGAAACUUACGCUAAUACCGCAUACGACCUACGGGUGAAAGCAGGGGAUCUUCGGACCUUGCGCGAUUGAAUGAGCCGAUGUCGGAUUAGCUAGUUGGCGGGGUAAAGGCCCACCAAGGCGACGAUCCGUAGCUGGUCUGAGAGGAUGAUCAGCCACACUGGAACUGAGACACGGUCCAGACUCCUACGGGAGGCAGCAGUGGGGAAUAUUGGACAAUGGGCGCAAGCCUGAUCCAGCCAUACCGCGUGGGUGAAGAAGGCCUUCGGGUUGUAAAGCCCUUUUGUUGGGAAAGAAAAGCAGCAGGUUAAUACCCCGCUGUUCUGACGGUACCCAAAGAAUAAGCACCGGCGAACUGCGU
rnacentral:rRNA from 1 species